rnacentral:misc_RNA from 1 species
AGAUAACCUUCUCUUGUUAAGUAUGAAAGCACUCUGAGCUCUGCAGGCGGAUCACUUCGGUGGACCGCACUCAAUGCAGCAGUCACAUUUUACAAUGUGAACUUCAUUGAGAGUUGAGUCAGCGCAGUUCUACUGCAAGUGCUUAGAUCCCUAAACUCUAUUUGUAUCUGAAAUCAAGCAGGAUCACCCGCUGAACUUAA